GGUGAUGGCCGGGAGAGGCAAAGGAGGGUAUAUAAUCUCUGAAAUGGCCCGGGCAUAGCAUUUCAGUGCCCCGAGAAGUUCAAGAUGCGGUUCCUUUUGUUCCUUCUCUUCCUGGCUCUCGCCUUUGCCUUCGCGGCCGCCAAGACCAUGCCCUGCUGCUACGGCGGGGGCUACGGCCACUUCGGCCACCACCACCACCACCACCACCACGGACACUGGGGCCAUCAUCACUGGGGCUGAUCUCGCGGAAGGCAGAGGAUCGACCCUAACGACAACGACAACGACAUCGGGACAACAAAAUGCUUCUCUUCUUCCUGUCUGUGGUUUUGGGUUGUUUUGUGGCACGCGACUCGUGUCAAUAAAGAGAAUAUCGCUGC